rnacentral:rRNA from 1 species
GCUUACGGCCAUACCAGCCUGGGUACGCCCGAUCUCGUCUGAUCUCGGAAGCUAAGCAGGGUCGGGCAUGGUUAGUACUUGGAUGGGAGACCGCCUGGGAAUACCAGGUGCUGUAAGCA